rnacentral:rRNA from 1 species
GACGAACGCUGGCGGCGUGCUUAAUACAUGCAAGUCGAACGGACAGGCCAUGAUUUUGUUGGGUGCUCGAGUGGCGAACGGGUGAGUAACACGUGAGUAACAUGCCCUUGAAUUUGGGAUAACUUCAGGAAACUGGGGCUCAUAUAGGAUAGGAGCUCCUGCUGCAUGGUGGGGGUUGGAAAGUUUCGGCGGUUGUGGAUGGACUCGCGGCUUAUCAGCUUGUUUGUGGGGUAGUGGCGUACCCAGGCUUUGACGGGUAGGCGGCCUGGGAGGGGGACCUGCCACAUUGGGCCUGAGAGACGGCCCAGACGCGUACGGGAGGCAGCAGUGGGGAAUAUUGCACAGUGGCCGGAAGCGUGAUGCAGCGACGCCGCGUGCGGGAUGACGUCCUUUGGGUUGUAAACCACUGUCUCCUGUGACGAAGCGGGAGUGACGGUAAUGAGUAAAGAAGCACCGGCUAACUACGUG